ensembl:snRNA U1 U1 spliceosomal RNA
UUAUCUACAGCAGCUGAGACACCCUAAUUACCAAAAUGGUUUUCUCAGGGCAAAGCUUGUCCAUUGCAUUCCAAAUGUGCUGACUCCUGUGAUUUCUUAAAGUGUGGGAAAUUCCACUGCAUAAUGGGUGGCUGUGGGGGACUGCCCCUGAGCUCUCCCAUU